UUCCGGUUGAUCCUGCCAGACCCGACUGCUAUCAGAGUGGGACUAAGCCAUGCGAGUCGACACAGCAAUGUGUGGCAUACGGCUCAGUAACACGUAGUCAACAUGCCCAGGGGACGUGGAUAACCUCGGGAAACUGAGGAUAAACCGCGAUAGGUCACUACUUCUGGAAUGGGUAAUGACCCAAACCUAUAUGGCCCCUGGAUUGGACUGCGGCCGAUCAGGCUGUUGGUGAGGUAAUGGCCCACCAAACCUGUAACCGGUACGGGCUCUGAGAGGAGGAGCCCGGAGAUGGGCACUGAGACAAGGGCCCAGGCCCUAUGGGGCGCAGCAGGCGCGAAACCUCUGCAAUAGGCGAAAGCUUGACAGGGUUACUCUGAGUGAUUUCCGUUAAGGAGAUCUUUUGGCACCUCUAAAAAUGGUGCAGAAU
rnacentral:rRNA from 1 species